UUUCUGCUGUUGUGACAUCUGAUGUGACAUCUCAGGUUUUCUUUUAACAUGGCUGCACUUAGGUUUGGAUUUUGGUUUGCAACUAGGGUAACUGCACUAAGCCUUAAAUCCAAUACCAGAUUUGUUUCCUGUUAUUUGGCCAGUCUGAAGAAUCUUGUCUAGGAUGGCAGAUCCAUUGUUAAGCAUUCUUACAUACUUAGUCAUCUCAUCUAGUUUGGAAUUCAAGAAUACAGCUUCAGUCUCU
rnacentral:lncRNA from 1 species